rnacentral:rRNA from 1 species
AGCGGCGAACGGGUGAGUAAUGCUUCGGAAUCUUCCUCGUAGUGGGGAAUAACCUGGGGAAACUCAGGCUAAUACCGCAUACGAACUACGGUUGAAAGCGGGGGCUCGCAAGACCUCGCGCUAUGAGAUGAGCCGAAGUCGGAUUAGCUAGUUGGUGAGGUAAAGGCUCACCAAGGCGACGAUCCGUAGCUGGUCUGAGAGGACGACCAGCCACACUGGGACUGAGACACGGCCCAGACUCCUACGGGAGGCAGCAGUGGGGAAUAUUGGACAAUGGGGGCAACCCUGAUCCAGCGACGCCGCGUGUGUGAAGAAGGCCUGCGGGUUGUAAAGCACUUUUAGUGGGGAUGAAAAGCACAGUUCUAAUACAGCUGUGUCUUGACCUAACCCAAAGAAAAAGCACCGGCUAACUCUGUGCCAGCAGCCGCGGUAAUACAGAGGGUGCAAGCGUUAAUCGGAAUUACUGGGCGUAAAGCGUGCGUAGUCGGUUAUUUAAGUCGGGUGUGAAAUCCCCGGGCUCAACCUGGGAAUUGCAUUCGAUACUGGAUAGCUAGAGUUCGGCAGAGGGAAGCGGAAUUUCCGGUGUAGCGGUGAAAUGCGUAGAUAUCGGAAGGAACAUCAGUGGCGAAAGCGGCUUCCUGGACCAGAACUGACGAUCAGGCACGAAAGCGUGAGGAGCAAACAGGAUUAGAUACCCUG